GGCCUGACACUCUUUGAUAGAGAAAGAUAGUCUUAUUGCGAUUCCUAUAAGAGGAAAGAGAAAAUAGUGCAAUGCUUUGUCUUUAUCACCGACCGGGUUUUUUUUCAUGGUCGGGUUAUGGCAGCUUAGGAAGGAGGCUGAUGGCGAUAUACAGAAAUUUAUAAGAGUGAAAGAGACAAAAUCCCGCAAGAUGCCAUACAUUAAACUGUCAAUCAUAUUGUCAAGAGUGCUAGUAAACAAUGUGGUUUUCUUAUUGUAGAAGUUUUAUAAAGUGAAUGAUUGUGUUUAUUAAGUAUUUAAUGGAGAUGUAAGAAGUUUUUACGUACAAUUAACAUGGUGGGGUGUUCAGUGGUUGCCUACAAAAGCAAUAGCUUGCGAAAAUAAGCGGGUGUAACAUUUCAUGCCUUUCCGACGGAGGAUGAAAUUGUUAAAGAAUGGAUUGCGGGAACUGGAAAAUCAAAUUGGAUGCCUCACAAAUACUCGCGUAUUUGUUCCAAACAUUUUGAACAACAUUGUGUCCGCAAACUGGGCAAACGAACUUUCAUCGAAAAGUUUUCUUUUCUAACCUUGUUCAUACACGAGAGGAGAGAGAAAAUUCUUUUCUUCAUCAUGUCAUGGAAAUCGUCCAUUCGUGCACGUCGUCGUCGUGGCAGUCUCAACAGCAUUCUGAAGCUAUUAUUGAACUUCAUAUAAUUGAUCCACAGGUUACAAGUGUAUGUGUAAAUAAAGUUUUCUUGACCCCCACAGUAUGUACAACGCGCAACACGUAAGAUUUUUUAUUUAAACAUAAAUAUUCGGUUUUAAGUAACAGUUUUAAUGUAAAUGACCAUGUUAGCUUAAAAUCAUAUACUGCGUAUCUACUGAGGUGUCGCUCAAGCACACCGUCAAGAACCUUCGCUGCAAUAGGGUUGUUUCCAUUUUGAAAUGCUUGUAUUAUAUAAUAUAUAUAUAUUUACCUAAUUAUGGCCUAAUAUUCAAUUUAUUUGUGUUGUUCUCAAGUAAAAGGUACCGCAUUGUCGCUUAUCAUAAGAACGCUCUUACAGGUUGUACGUAUAGAGAGCAAGCAAAUUGUAUCCUUAUGGUAAGCGACUAUGUGGUACCUUUUACUUGAGAACGACACAUUUAAUUAUUAUUUCUAGUAAGUACAGUUAUAAUAAUAUAAGUUUUGAAUAAAGAAAUUACCUCUUUUGAUA